rfam:Ciona savignyi cont_17356, whole genome shotgun sequence.
GGUCUUGUGGCCCAAUGGAUAAGGCGCCUGACUACGAAUCAGUAGAGUCCAGGUUCGAGUCCUGGCAGGAUCG